CUACGGGUUGCUCCAGUCGAGAAUAGUCUACAAUGGACGAAAGUCUGAUAGUGCGACGCCGCGUGGAUGAAGAAGCAUUUCGGUGUGUAAAGUCCUUUUCUGUGUGAGCAAUGUUUUCCAGGUUAAUAGCUUGGAGAAAGCGAUAUUAACACAGGAAUAAGCUCCGGCUAACUCCGUGCCAGCAGCCGCGGUAACACGGGGGUAGCAAGCGUUGUCCGGAAUUACUAGGCGUAAAGGGUAAGUAGGCGGAAUUGUAAGUCAGAUGUUAAAGGCACCGGCUCAACCGGUGUAUGGCAUUUGAUACUGUAAUUCUAGAGUAAGGUGGGGGAAGACGGAAUUCCUGGUGUAGCGGUGGAAUGCGCAGAUAUCAGGAGGAACACCAGAGGCGCAGGCGGUCUUCUAUACCAUUACUGACGCUCAAUUACGAAGGUGUGGGUAUCAAACAGGAUUAGAUACCCUCGUAGUC
rnacentral:rRNA from 1 species